rnacentral:tRNA from 1 species
GCACCGUUGGUCUAGUUGGUUAUGACGCUCGCCUAACACGCUUUGAUACGAAAGCAUUCGACGACUUACGCACGACUCACAUCGUGCAUGAGACACUGCUGACUACAGCUUACUCGCGCCUGCGAGGAAGACGUAGAACGCGAGAGGUCUCCGGUUCGAACCCGGAAUGGUGUA